rnacentral:rRNA from 1 species
CCUACGGGUGGCAGCAGUGAGGAAUAUUGGUCAAUGGUCGGGAGACUGAACCAGCCAAGCCGCGUGAGGGAUGAAGGUACAGAGUAUCGUAAACCUCUUUUGUCAGGGAACAAAGGCGGGGACGCGUCCCCGGAUGAGUGUACCUGAAGAAAAAGCAUCGGCUAACUCCGUGCCAGCAGCCGCGGUAAUACGGAGGCUGCGAGCUUUAUCAGGAUGUAUUGGGUUUAAAGGGUGCGCAGGCGGUCUGUUAAGUCAGCGGUCAAACCCCGGGGCUCAACCCCGGCCCGCCGUUGAAACUGGCAGUCUCGAGUUGGAGAGAAGUAUGCGGAAUGCGCGGUGUAGCGGUGAAAUGCAUAGAUAUCGCGCAGAACUCCGAUUGCGAAGGCAGCAUGCCGGCUCCACACUGACGCUGAGGCACGAAAGCGUGGGUAUCGAACAGGAUUAGAUACCCUGGUAGUC